rnacentral:rRNA from 1 species
CCUACGGGUGGCAGCAGUGAGGAAUAUUGGUCAAUGGACGCAAGUCUGAACCAGCCAUGCCGCGUGCAGGAAGACGGUUCUAUGUGUCGUAAACCUCUUUUGUCCGAGGGCAAACACUGAUACGCGUCUCCGUCUGAGAGUACCGUACGAAUAAGCAUCGGCUAACUCCGUGCCAGCAGCCGCGGUAAUACGGAGGAUUCUAGCGUUAUCCGGAUUUAUUGGGUUUAAAGGGUGCGUAGGCGGUCGGAUAAGUUAGAGGUCAAAUCCCGAGGCUCAACCUCGGAAUUGCCUCUGAUACUGGUAGGCUAGAGAGGGAGAGCGGUAGGCGGAAUGUGUGGUGUAGCGGUGAAAUGCUUAGAUAUCGUGCAGAACACCGAUUGCGAAGGCAGCAUGCCGGCCUACUACUGACGUUGAGGCACGAAAGCGUGGGGAGCGAACAGGAUUAGAUACCCGGGUAGUC